GCUGGGUGUGGUGGCUCACACCUGUAAUCCCAGCACUUUGGGAGGCUGAGGCGGGUGGAUCAUCUGAGGUCAGGAGUUCAAGACCAGCCUGACCAACAUGAUGAAACCCCGACUUUA
ensembl:misc_RNA Metazoa_SRP Metazoan signal recognition particle RNA